rnacentral:rRNA from 1 species
CCCUUAGAUGUUCUGGGCCGCACGCGCGCUACACUGACGAAGUCAGCGAGCAUGUCCUACGCCGACAGGUGCGGGGAAUCUUGUCAAACUUCGUCGUGAUGGGGAUUGAUUAUUGAAAUUCUUGAUCAUGAACGAGGAAUUCCUAGUAAGUGCAAGUCAUCAGCUUGUACUGAUUACGUCCCUGCCCUUUGUACACACCGCCCGUCGCUCCUACCGAUUUCGAGUGACACGGUGAACCUUUUGGACUGCGACGGUCCCCGAGGCCGCUGCGGGAAGACAAGUAAACCUUAUCACUUAGAGGAAGGAGAAGUCGUAACA